rnacentral:misc_RNA from 1 species
UUUAAUUUCCUUUUGAAGCUCCAUCAGUAUUCAACUUUAUCCAUUGUGAACUAGGCGUGAUAUCAGUAGCAUCUUGAGUGUUAUCUCUAGCCAAGACAGAACAUAACCAGAGGAAGCGCAAUCCCAAGUCAAACUGUCAUGGUCACCGAAUACAAUCAGAGCUAGGGCAAUCCUCAUCCUCUUCCACCUCCUGUUCUAGAUCAGAUUCUUUAUCUGAGAGAAUGUCAUCAAAAUCAUCACAUUCAGGGUCUUCAAAAUCCUCCAUCGACUCCAUAAAGCCACGGAAUACAACCAUUUCCACAGGAAAGUUUACGUCGAUUUCGGAAGGAAUGGUCUCAGGGCCAUCAUCUUUGUUGAACUUCUUGUCGCUAAGGACCAAUUG